rnacentral:antisense_RNA from 1 species
GGGAGCUUGGAUGUGGAAGCUCUUUGGAAACCAAGAAACACUCUGCAAAUGAAAAGGGAUCUCAACUUUUCUCUUCCCGCUCCAGCUGCACUGUGUAUCCGUGCUUGGCUUUCAGUUGUUGGAUUCUCAUGUCUCCUUUUUCACAGUGGCUCAGGUGGAAGAGUAAACUGUUCCCGUUUCUCCAAAUUGACAGGAAGCAGAAGUUCUCCUUAGCUGAUUUUUCUUCUUGCCUUAUACUGGGUUCUUUAACACCAGAACAAAAAUAAAUAAAUAAAAGAAUCUUCCAGAAAUUCAUGAAGAGACUUCAGGUCAGGAAAGCCUGAACUUUCUCAUCUAACACCUGUUCAAGUCGGAGGAUGCUGAUUAAUUCAUGAUGGAAAGGUAUCAAUUUCACAGCCCAGACUUCUACAUUCUUGAAAUGCUGUUCUCAUGGGAGACAUUAAAUAAGCUUUGAAAUAACUUAAGCCCUUAAGUAAAGGUGCCAUCAAAUGAUUUCUCAGAAAUUAUAAAGAAACAAAAGGACCAUAAACAAGAUAAGGUGGCACGAGGAAACACUAAAAGUACCUUUCAGAGCUGACUGGCAAAGAAACUCCUGAGGUGAUGG